rnacentral:lncRNA from 7 species
UUUUUUUUUAGCAGAAUACCUUUGAUUGCAAGCCUCUGCUGGGAGGCAGAGCCUAAGCACAGCUGCCGCAUUGCAAUGCCUUGUUUGAGAGUUCCCACCUCAGCCAGCAUAGAAGGUGGCUAGGGAAGAGCAGUAGGAUUGCCAUGUGGAAUGAAAGGAAUGUGAAAGAAGACAGUGUGCCCUACUUGAAUGAAUGUCUGGUGGGAAAAAGAUCACAGGAAAAUAUAAAUCUGCUGACUGUGCAGGAGUCUACAGAGCUCAAUGCUGGUAUUGAUGCUUCCACCAAAAUGUUGAAUAGAGCUCAAGGAAAGGAGGGUGCUUCUGGGCAGACAGUGCAGUUCUUCUGCAUUAGGCUGCAGCAGCUGCCUCAAUCCUUCCCAUUCCCUGAAAGUAGCAGGAACAUCAAUCCGAUUUGGUAUACCUUUUGCAUUUAUACUGUGCAGUGUGUGGAACUGCUGAUACAACUAGCUUGUUUUCAACAUGUGUGGUUUGCUCCUGGGUCCAUGUGCAGUCUGCAGCAUUAAUUUAAUGUACUGAAUAUUAUUCCUGCCAUAGGUGGAGAAUCAAACUAGCAAGUGCUUCUCUGGGUGGUCUUUGAACUGAUCUUUUACUUUAGACAUUUAAUAAAUACCAGAUUAAUUUACUUUAAUAGCAUGUGUUAGGAUGUAUAAUAGCUGCUGACCUGUGGCUGCUAUUGUAUUUGCCUUACUGUUUAAAAUAGGAACAUUCAGUCAGAGGAUGGAAACUUAUUGAAGCCUGUAGGGAACUGUCUACUUUGUUGUAAUUCAUAACCUGUCAGAAAGAGAUGUUAAUUUUGAUGGCAAUUAAUUUAUGGCAAACAUAAACAUAAACAAACAAAAAAAAACAGGAAAAGAAAUAUGUUAGAGUAGUUGAAUAUUAGAGUUAAGUACUGUGAUUGAAAGGUAGCAAUUAGUUUAAUUGUCAGUUAAUAGAAAAAAGGUAAAAACAAAAAUCAUUCAACACUUCCAGUUUAUUUAAUGUAAUAAAAAUAUACUGAUUUAAUUGUUCCUCACCUCUUUAAAUAAAAACUAAUGGCAUGAAAUAGAGUGUAGUUAUUGGCUUCAGGGAAUGAUAUUUUCUCAUGUAAAAAAAAACACAGGGAGAUGCACAUAAGUAAUUUUCAGUGUGAGAAGGUAAAUACCUAUAAGAAAUUAACAGGGGGAGGUCGACUUACUUUUAAAAGUCUGGCACUGAAUGCAAUGGGGACUUAUAUUGCUAAAUUAAACUGUUAUAGAAAGAACUUGAUUGGGGAUAUUUUAUAACAUCUUCAUUAACUAAUUAUUUGCUCAGGGCAUACUUGACAUUUUUCAAAGUUCUAUUAUCUCUGUUUAUUCUGUGAUUCGAUGAUAUUUUGUUGGUCAUUAUUGGUAUCCUGACUUUUAUAGGGUCUUAAACGAGGACUAUUAAUGUGACUGCCAAUGUGACAUAACAAACAGUAACUGUACUAUAAAUCACAUUU